rnacentral:rRNA from 1 species
UAGGGAAUCUUCCGCAAUGGACGAAAGUCUGACGGAGCAACGCCGCGUGAGUGAAGAAGGAUUUCGGUUCGUAAAACUCUGUUGUUAGGGAAGAAAAAAUGUAUAGUAACUAUAUACAAAAGAGACGGUACCUAACCAGAAAGCCACGGCUAACUACGUGCCAGCAGCCGCGGUAAUACGUAGGUGGCAAGCGUUGUCCGGAAUUAUUGGGCGUAAAGCGCGCGCAGGUGGUUUAGAAAGUCUGAUGUGAAAGCUCACGGCUCAACCGUGGGGGGUCAUUGGAAACUAAUAAACUUGAGUGCAGGAGAGAAAAGUGGAAUUCCUAGUGUAGCGGUGAAAUUCGUAGAGAUUAGGAGGAACACCGGUGGCGAAAGCGGCUUUUUGGCCUGCAACUGACACUGAGGCGCGAAAGCGUGGGGAGCAAACAGG